AGGUAGGUAUUGGGAUCUGGGCCCCAGUCUUCUGGAAGUACAAGUGUUCUUAUCCAUUGGCCCAUCAUUGCAGGCCUGGAUUGUAUUCUUGAAGCAAUUAGGUAAUUGUAGCUCCCAUCAUUGCAGGCCUGGAUUGUAUUCUUGAAGCAAUUAGGUAAUUGUAGCUCCCGUGUUCUCAUCAGCUUGAGUGGAUACCUGACCUCCCUGUGUGAAUGCUGUGACCACUGAGGUGGAGUCACUUGUGUCAAACCCUGAGUCUGAAGGCCCAAUCAGGAACUAGCAAAGAGAUUUUCCCAGACUGCAGCUCGUUUUAGAGCUGUUUGUAAAAGGCGCUCAGCUAAUGUGCUGUCUCCACAGAUGAACUGGACAGAUGUGAAUCCUCUGAGGAGCCGAGGACUCAAGGUGGGGCACGCUUGAGGAAUCUACGCAUGGCAUAUAUGACUCCAUUUAUGACAGUCAAUAGCAGAUGGGCAAGGAGGCGUCUGGGAGCCAGAAGAGGUAGAGUUUACAAAUGCAUUCUUCCUAGAUCUACGAACUUUUAUAAGUGCAAACGUUGGGAACUCUCCAUGGCUUCUCGGUCCACACAGUGAGGCCAGUGUCACCGAGCACCUGUAUGCCAGCCUCCUUCAUCCUCUGGGUCGGGGCUCAUGGUUGGUUCACUUGACAAACUGCUUCAGGACCCAUCUAUGGAGAAGUGGAGUAAAGAGAGGUGCCUCUCCCAGCCUCAGAUAAUCUAGGUGGAUGCCUGCAGGUGACCCCGGUCUUAAGGGAUGAGCGGUGAGUGAAGUGUUCUGGGGUGAAGAAGAGAGAGAAGUACAUGGUCAAAGGGAGGGAGUGAGAGAGCCGGGGUCAUAGUGGUGUGGCCAGGCAUGAGUCUGGGAGCCGGGCAAGGGCAGACUAUAAACUCUUCCUCGAGGUACAAGCGUGUGCUGGGGAAGUGCCACCAUUGAUUCUCCUCCAGGGAAUAAGACAGACAGACCAACCAGAGACACAACUCUGAGACAUUUCUCCUUCCUUAGUUAGGCGUGGCUCAGGUUUUGUAACACCCUCUGGUGGAGAGUCGCCCUCUGUAGGUUUGGAGGCCUUGGUUGGAGACGAUGCUCGGGGAUGUCUUGCGGGGGCACUCCAUAACAGAUUUGGGGUGCCCGUGCUGAGGCACCGCUCUUAAAAUGAACUCUCACUUGACCUCUGUCUCAUCCUAGAAAUCAGGCUUGGGGAGCUGUACAGCAAAGGAUAAUCCUGCAUUGCCGUGGCUCUGAGCAGCAGGGUGAGUUCCUCCAGCUUCUCUUUUGUCAGCACCAAUGAAACUGUAGCUGGCAGUCCUAAUGACCCUCGGCUACUGUUACAAAUGUCACAAAAAUGCCAUAGACCAGGGGACUUAAAGAAGGGAUCAGGAAGGGGGAGGGAAGGGAGGCCAGUUCAGAUAUGGGAGGAGAUGGGGGAGAAGUACAGAGGGUCAGGAAUUUGAAAGUAGGUGUGUAGCAGUGGGGGAGGGGGAACUGGGGGUAACCACUAGAAAGUCCCAGACGCCAGGGCCCAGGAGAUUCCCAGGACCCAACAGGGAGGACUUUAGCUGAAAUACCCAACAGGGAGAUAGAACGUGUAGAGACCAUAUCCAGUGGAUAGUCAUGACCCCCGGUUGAGGCAUGGGCCCAUCCACUCACUUCAAAUAUAUUAAUCCAGAAUUCCUCCUGUCAAAAGGAAAUGCAGGGACAAAGUGUAGAGCAGAAACUGAAGGAAAGGCCACCUAGGGAUCCAUCCCAUCUGCUGACACCAAAUCCAGACUCUGCUGCUGAUGCCAGGAAGGACUUACUGACAGGAGCUCGGUCAUAGUUGUCCCCUGAGAGGCUCCGCCAGAGCCAGACCAAUACAGAUGGGGAUGUAUACAGCCAAACAUCAAACUGAUGAUGGGGACCCCAACGGGGGAAGUUGGGGCAAGGGCUGUAGGAGCUGAAGGGGAUUGUAACCUCACAGGAAAAACAACAAUAUCAACCAACCAGACCCCCCCAAACCUUCCAGGGACUAAACCACCAACCAAACAGUACACAGAGGGUACCCAUGACUCCAGCCGCAUAUGUGGCAGAGGAUGGCCUUAUCUAGCAUCACUGGGAGGGGAGCCCCUUGGUCCUGUGGAGGCUCCAUGACCCAGGUAGGGGGACACUAGGUUGCUGAGGCAGGAG